GUGAGUGGUUGCUUAGGCAUUGGUUAUGACUAUCUGUCCUUGCCCCAGGGACAGAGCUGACUUCCGGAUUCCAGCGGAAGCCAGCGUGGGAAACAAGUAUUGGGUGAGAAAGUGAAGCUGGGCAUCAGUCUCACACUUCUCACCCUCAUGUUCCGGUGGGGCUUGCACGGCCCAAGUCCGAUACCAGGGACAAGGACGAAAGAAUGGCAAGCCCCUGGAUUCCUUUAACGGAAUUCCCAUUUCCGCACCACCAUUGGAGGGGUAGGCACUUACCCUCCACCAACCAAAUUUAACCAAUGCCUAACCGCCAACCUUACAAGUUGUGACGAUUUGCUACGCAGUAGGCAAAAACCAAAUGGCACCAGCCAAUCAGCCAAUUGGCAAAAUUCCUACCAGGCCCCCGCACCAAGGCGGACGACCCCAUGACAGGCAUAGCAAGGUCAAGAUCCAAACCCCCCCCCUUUAAAGGGAGGGUGGGCGGGUGAAUCAGUGCAAAAAGGCCAAGAGGACGCCCAGCGUUGGACGCCCUGUAUUUAAGGCCUCUGACCCCACCUCCAAAUUGGCAACAUUCAAAACUCCCCAGUAACCCGUUAACCACUUAAAGGCUUGGGUUCCUCACCAAAUUUGCACAGUCACUGCAGGGUGGCAUGUUCCCCCAACCGCAACACGUGCUCUCUUUUAUGGAGAACACGCUUUGCGUGUUGAGUCCCACAACGCCACCCCCCAAAAAAUUCACACUUCACACGUCAAUUUUUGUUUAAGGUUUUUGGCAUAAUUUUGGCCACAACUUUAUUCAAAGUACAAAAUGUGAGUGGUUGCUUAGGCAUUGGUUAUGACUAUCUGUCCUUGCCCCAGGGACAGAGCUGACUUCCGGAUUCCAGCGGAAGCCAGCGUGGGAAACAAGUAUUGGGUGAGAAAGUGAAGCUGGGCAUCAGUCUCACACUUCUCACCCUCAUGUUCCGGUGGGGCUUGCACGGCCCAAGUCCGAUACCAGGGACAAGGACGAAAGAAUGGCAAGCCCCUGGAUUCCUUUAACGGAAUUCCCAUUUCCGCACCACCAUUGGAGGGGUAGGCACUUACCCCUCCACCAACCAAAUUUAACCAAUGCCUAACCGCCAUGGAGCCCUCAGCUCACCGCCAAACCACUCACAGGCCCAGCCAAUCCCUUAGCUUAGCCACCACCGCACCUAGCCAAGCCUCGUUCCCUAAGGCCGAAAGGUGCACACCAUCAUCUCUGAAAAAUGAUUCAUUCUGAGAAAUAAUCUCGGGAUGUGAGAUUACGUCACCACCCAACUCGAAAACCUUUUUUGCCACCGCAGAAUUGACACGUUUUCUGGCCCUUUCGAUGGCAGCCGGGCAACGACUCCCUCUCCACGCGCGUCGUUGCAAAAACUUUGACCAAAAUAUCUUUGCAGUCGGCAACAUAGCCCGCAGCACAUCGAGGUCGCCCAAAAUUGCUGCACGUAACGAAAAACAGUCCAUGGAAACCAGGUCGUUCUCACCCAGCUGCACCACAAUGGCUGCAGGAGGCCCCUCCAACACCAUCUGCCUCCGAAUCAGCGGCAGGAACUCUGACCAGCGCAUUCCCCGUCUGGACAGCCAAGCCAAGUGGACAUGUGGAGGAAGGCCGAGACCUGGUCCCAAUCCGGAUUGCCGGGCUCCGAUGCCAGCCCAAUGCACGAUACUGUGCCCCACCAACCAGAUGCGAACAGUCGCUAAACCUGAGGUAAAAAGCAAAACAAACAACAAACCAGAUGUAAGCAUACCAAAUUGUCAACGGACGUAACCUCUGAACGCAUUUGAUUUCCAACGACCCAAUUCCUUUAUUCUGUCGGCCGACAGGCCCCAAUGCGCUGCAGUCGUAGCCGCCCCAAUUCUAAAGGAAUGGGGGGCAAAACCAUAAGCCGAAUCGCCACAAGCGAUGAUCGCCUUCCGCAUCACCAUUGUGAACUGGUGCCUUGUCAGGGGCGGCCCAUCUUCAUGCCUCAGCAUCGGACCCUCCCCUGGGGGGCGAACAGCCAGGUACCUUCUAACAUCUUUUACGGGGCAGGGGCCAGCUUCCCCCGUAGCAGGGAGACGAAUAAGGGCUCCCCUACCCUUCUGAUCUGUUUUUGAAUUCCUAAUCGUGAGUCUCAGCUCCACCGGGGAUAACUGUACGUCCUGGAGCAAUAGGCCCCUAGAACGACCGUCCCUGUGAACUUCCAGUACCAGCUCGCCCACCCGUAAGGCCCCAAAGAAGGCAAUGGAAAAGGCUGCCGAAAAAAGGCGAGCCUCAUACGCGGACCAACAGACACUCCGCAAUUUCUUACGCAUCCUGCUAAGCAAGUCGAAUGAAAUCGGGCGCCGGGAUGCGGGUCGGGAAGGACAAAGCCUACUCCAACCUUCAAGGGCCCUACGCACUACAAACUUUGCACAAGGAUCUUUGUCAAAAUAUGACUUAGAGAAAAACGCUAUUGCAGCUGCCUGAAUCCUAAUUGUCUUGGCUGCACGCCCCAACUGAAAAAGGUGCGCCAAAUAUCUCAGCACCUGAGAAGUGGAGGGUGGAGCCUUCCCUACCACACUGACUGACUGAUGGGUAAAGGCCAAAAAGUCAGCCCAUGCUUUAGUGUAUGACCGGAGGGUAGAAGGGGAAAUAGAUGCAGCUACUCCCUGGAAAACUAAUUGCUGCCAAGGUUCCAGAGAUGAUCCGGGAAAUAUUCCGGACGUUCCCGAGCCUCUGGAACCAGAAGUCUGAACCGCUCCAUCUGAAAACGGGACAGAGCAUCAGCAAUUUCGUUAGACACCCCCGGAAUGAAACGUGCAGAAAACACUAUAUUAUAACGUAAACAAUGUAGAACAAAGGCCCGCAAAAGGGCCGACACCCUGGGGGAGCGUGAAGACAGCUUGGCCAGCACGUUCACCACCGCCUGGUUAUCGGUCCAGAAGCAAACACGGCGGUCCCUGAACUCAUCGAGCCACAAGUGCACUGCCACUGCAAUGGGAAAAAACUCGAGAAAAGUUAGGUCCCGCGUUAUGGCUUCCCCCUGCCAGGCGGGUGGCCAAGGCAUGGCGCACCAUCUGCCUUUCCAAUACAGACCAAAGCCCAGGGAACCUGCAGCAUCUGAUUGCACUUGAAAAUCAUUAUGCAAGUUCAACGUGCCUUGCCACAGGGAUACCCCGUUGAAUUCCUCCAAGAAUUCAAGCCAAAUGCAGAGAUCCGCCUUCACCUCACUAGAGAGGCGAACCCGAUGAUGCGGGGCCCUCAACCCCGCCGUAAGUCGAGCCAGGCGUGAACAAAAGGGGCGCCCAGGCGCCACUACCCUGCAGGCAAAAUUCAGGUGCCCUAAUAGCGACUGGAGUUGCCUCAGGGACACCUUCUUCAAAGGGAGCAAUUCCUCUAUAACUUUCUUCAAAGCAACCAGCUUAUCCUUUGGCAAGCUGGAAGUUUGAGAAACCGUAUCUAAGAGGAUACCCAAAUAAGUAAGGUGGGUCGAAGGACCCUCCGUCUUUUCCGCUGCAAGCGGAACGCCCAAUUCUUGCGUAAGGUCGGCGAAGGCAUGCAGCAGCACCGCGCAAUUGCCGGUAUCAUGCGCCGAGGCCAAUAAAAAAUCAUCCAAAUAAUGAGUGACUCCGCCCAAUCCAGUUUUUUGUUUGAGGGCCCACUCCAAAAAUGUGCUAAAAGAUUCAAAAGCGGCACACGCUAUUGAACAGCCCAUAGGCAUAGCUUUGUCAAAGUAAUACUUGCCCUCAAACUGGAAACCUAGUAACCAAAAAUCCUCGGGAUGAAUAGGCAAUAAACGAAAUGCCGAUUCAAUAUCGCAUUUCGCCAAUAAGGCGGCAGGGCCGAACUUCCGAAUCAUCUUGAUCGCAUGAUCAAGAGAGGCGUACUUCACAGAGCAAAGCUCCUGAGGAAUAACAUCAUUGACUGAGGUGCCCCUAGGGUGUGAUAAAUUAUGAAUUAAGCGAAACUCGCCUGGGGCUUUCUUUGGCACGAUACCCAAUGGGGAUACGUGCAACUUACGAAAUGGGGGAGCACUGAAAGGACCAGCCAUACGAUGCAUAGCC